GAACUAAAUCAAUGCAACCUCCGCAGAAUCUGAUUCAUAGAUUCUUGAUAUGUACAUGGUACAUACAAUUAAACAAAGUAAAAUAUAAUAAUUAAAUAUGCUACAAUAAUCUUUAGAGUGGAUCAAUCCUUCAUUGUUUAGAAGAAAUCUAAUUCUAUGACAAAAGGCUAGAGAGCCCACCUAGUAUAAGCAUCAUUGUAGUUAUUUUAAAAAUUGAUGGAGUUCCAAAAUGAAGCUUUUUUGCCACUUUUAAUCAUAUAAACAAGAAUUAUUUUUAGCA
rnacentral:lncRNA from 1 species